CUAGGUGAACCUGCGGAAGGAUCAUUAACACGUAUCCGAUCGUUAAAACCCCCUGUGAACCUUCAGCACCAAUACAGGUCCUGCAAAUAGUUUGGGGUAAUUAGUAAAUCAUUGUCUGAAUCAGAGUGGCCGACACGGCCCUUUGAGCGGGUAACGGCUGCAACCAGAUGAAAAUCUGGCAUGACAUGAGGGAUGGCCGGCGCCGAAAGGUUAUAGGCACAAAAAAACGAACAAUUGUUAACAAUGGAUAUCUUGGAUCUC
rnacentral:misc_RNA from 1 species